rnacentral:piRNA from 1 species
UCAAUUGAUGGUUUUUUGUUU